rnacentral:lncRNA from 1 species
GUCAGGUUUCCCUGAUGACACAAGUUAAGUCGUUUGCCUGUUCAGGGUACUAAGCCAUCCCAAGACUGAGCCUGCUGAAUUCCUAUGGAGUCACCAGUGCUGGCCUCAGUUCCUGACCACAUGGAGGAGAGGCAUGAGGACACGGGCUUGCACCCUUGGCACAGAAUAUGGCCCCAGGACCACGAAAUUUUCCAUGUGGAAGAUGCAGGUUUUCCGCCCGUGCUUCAGACCAUAGCUAGGCUUAGGAGUUGCUCUGAAGUGUGGACCGGAACUGCUGUCAGCCUACCGGAUAAAGUCACCCACAUGACCGGGACACCAGGGAGUAGUGGCCAGCGGGGUCCCAUGGGGGCUGGAAGAAACUGAGCUGCUCAGGAGAUGUCUUCUGCCCUUGCAUCCAUCUCUCAUCCCAGAGCUCGCUGAUCGGGGACACACAGUGUCCCCUCAUUGCCUCCAGACUCCUUCAUUCCCCUUUACAUGAGACACAGGCAUUAAAGUAGAGCCAGCAGAAGAUGUGCAUACAUAUUUACUCCUAAAAUUUAAAGCACCAACUGUUUAAAAUCUCCAUGGUAUUAAAGAAUUAUUAUCGAUCCUGGCAUCGUGGGACACACCUGUGAUCCCAGCACUCUUGGAGGCUGAGGAAGAAGGAUGGCAAGUUUGAGUCAAGCCUGGGCAGUUUAGUGACUUAGGGCAGA